rnacentral:lncRNA from 1 species
UGUCUGCCGGUUCCGUGCCGCCUUGGCGACCUCGGUGUUGUACAUGGAGUGGUGGAGAGGGGUGGCAGGGGGGUGGCAUUUCAAAGGAGUCCAACAGUGUUUGGGGUCCUGCGUGGUGGGAGGGAUCCGCUGCGGCGGGAUGGGAGGAGGGGUGUGUGCGGAAUGCCAAUGGUUGAGAGUGGCAGGAGCGUGGAAGGGGCGUAUAUGGGGGUUGCCUCUGGGACCAUUGGUGGAGGAGUGGAGGAGCGUGGGCGAGACGUGCGACUGGGGAGGCUAAACACAGCAUUGUGGGUGAGACUUAUAAUAAAAAUAUUGAUGUUGAUUGGAAGGGUGUGGGGCG